rnacentral:rRNA from 1 species
CGGAAUACCUACCCUGUCGGUGGGGGAUAACGUAGGGAAACUUACGCUAAUACCGCAUACGACCGAGAGGUGAAAGUGGGGGAUCGAAAGACCUCACGCGAUUGGAUGAGCCGAUGCCGGAUUAGCUAGUUGGUGGGGUAAAGGCCCACCAAGGCGACGAUCCGUAGCUGGUCUGAGAGGAUGAUCAGCCACACUGGGACUGAGACACGGCCCAG